rnacentral:tRNA from 1 species
GGGGUAUUAGCUCAGCUGGGAGAGCGCGUGGUUCGCAAUCACGAGGUCAGGGGUUCGAUCCCCCUAUACUCCACCA